GGACGAUGUACUGUCCUCAUUCAAGAUGGGUCUUGUCAUCGACGUGGACUUUUUAUGGCCAACGGUGAUGGCAUGAACUCUUGGCUCAGACGCCGAGCAGAGAGAUUUGUGUGUGUCGAUAGAUAAGAUCGAGUCGACCACCGAGCCAAAAUAAAGAUAAUAGACAAGAGGUCUGCUUUGGUGUGGUCGGUGGUAUAUCCCUACUGGUCGGUAAGUGCCACUUAUUAAGCCAUUAUUGGGUAUACUGGGCUUGGGUACUACCUUGCGUCAACAAAGAGGAAAAAUGAGAGUCCCAACAACAAGUCCCAUUGUUUUCCAUGGCCUCCAGUCUUUUCUUCCUCUUCCUUCUCCUUUAUCUCUCUCUUAUCCCCAAAAUUUUAUUUAAUCUUUCCGCUACAAAUGAAAUAGGCUUACUUUUGGUUCAUUUGUUCAUUUUCUUUGAAUUGCAAUGAUGAAAGAGGGGAGAAUUAGAGAAAGAGAAAGGAAUAAAAAGAGAAGGAAGAGCGGCGGACCAUUGGUCAUGGCAGACACGUUGGGGUUAGUGGUUAGGUUGGGAGGGUGUGGUUGUUGGUAGGGGUGUGUUCGGACCGAGAGGCACAAACUGACUACCUAACCGAUAGUGGUCGGAAUGCUAAAAAGAUGACCGCCACUGAUGAGGGCGAAUUGCCAAUUGUCGGUUGAACCGUUGGUUUUGGUGUGAGCGGUUCGACUGUGGAAAAAACCAAGAGGCAGAAGAGAUGGAGAGAGAAAGAGAGGCGGAGAUAGCGGUGGCACUGUAGAUCUGGAGCCUUGGCGUCGGCGUGGUGGAGCUACAUAUCUGGAGUUACCUUGGAAAGAAAGGAAGUCGAGAUCAAACCAGACGGUCCGGUUUGAUCGGUUUCCUGAUUCAUAUCGGGUUUUUGGUCAAAAAUUCCAACCCUAGUUGCUGGAACUCUUAUCUUUUUAUUUUUAUAUUUAUAUUUUAUUUUUCUAAUUUUAAUUUAAAUGAUAAAUAUGAAGUGUCAAAUCCAACUAUAAAAAAGAAACAAGUGACAAUAUUUGAGUGGGAUUAUCACACACUAACAUAGUAUAUUCGUACUAUUAUAUAAUUUCUCCUAAGUUUGAGUCCCCACGACAUUUAAAAAUAUAAAAUAAAAUAAAAAACCAACCUUGAAAUGAAAAUUAAUGUUAGCAUUUAAGUAACGUUGUACUCAAAACUUAGAGCAUGUUAAAUCCGUUGUGGCACUUUUAACAGGUAGGGGAAAAAAAAGCUUAGACUCACUCCAACCAAAAUGUUAAAUCGUACAUGGAUUAACAUUUCUCUUUCUUGUUGUUAUUUUUGGUUGUUUGACCUUGUGAUGUUAUUUUAUUAUUAUUUUUGAAUUAAUGUACAUUUAUUGUAGUAAACCAAUAAAAAUAUGUAAUAAAAUAAUAUUUUAUUUGACAUAUCGGG
rnacentral:lncRNA from 1 species